rnacentral:lncRNA from 1 species
UUUCCACUUUCACCAUCACACAGUAACUCGUUGAUUUUUUCCCAUCCCCUUUCUCCUUACCUCCAUUGACUCCAAAAUAGCAACCACGGAUGAGGUUCGACUGGUAGCGCUGGUACAUCUGAAGCUCCGCUUCUUGAGCAUGCAAGCAGCUGACUCACUGGUAGCGCUGGUACAUCUGAAGCUCCGCUUCUUGAGCACGCAAGCAGCUGACUCGCCUAUGCUGGCCCAGGCUAACCAUGUACGGCGGCUGAUUUUGGUCCUCGUACGGCUCCAUGGUCUCGUAGGCUGGUAAACUGCGAUGCUAGCAGCAGCAGGUGCCCAAGGUAUGAUGCGAGAUCAUCGAUCUGCACUGUGUCGUGACUGUCUGCAUCCGUGUAGUUGAUUUGGUCCCGUAUUUCGUCUCCCACAACAGGUUGGAUCCGACUCGAGUUUGAGGCUGUUGGCAACUCUUCUUCCCCAAACGCACCGGACGCAUCGUCGUUAUUCCCAGUCGAGGCUGCCCGGCACUUCGUCGUCAUCGUCCACAGCGGCAACACUCUUCCAAGUUCGAAGUUUGACCUGUAGGUCCCUAUUUUCUAUUUCCUUUUUUGAGGGACUAUUUUCUAUUUCCUGAGUGUCAUAUUUAACUUUUUUCUUUUACAUUUUCCUGUUUUUAAGCGAUUGAAUUAGUUUAAUUAAGGAAAUGCCUCUUUGUCGAAAACGCUUCUUCAUUUUUUCCUUCAAAUCUUGGGUAAACAUGUGAUUCAUUUUAAGUGUUUUUUAAGUGUUGAAUCUUGAAUGAGGUAGAUACUAAUAUGUUUUGAAGUUUAGUAUAUGCACGAGUAAAUUUUCUUGACUGCAAAAAAAAAGAUAAUUUUGCUAAAGCUGUGCAAGAUGGACAUACAAAUUUUUAUUUUAGUGAUUUGUUUAAUUAAGCGUUUUUUUAAAUUGGCAUAUGAAGUUGGAGUUUAUUUAUAUACCAUGUAUAUAUUUCCAUUUGACCCUGCUCUUCAUUUUCAUUCGAUUCACUUAUGGUUAAUGUACUAAAUGAUGAUAGUAAGUUUUGAAUACCAAAUACUCCCUCUGUAAACUUUUAUAAGACGUUUUAGGUCACUAUUUGGAGCAGAGGGACUACAUCUCAAUGCGUAGUGUUAUUUUGUUUAUUCCCCCUCCACCUUUUUUAAGUAGUAAAUUUUGGUUAGUUAUAGUUUUGAUAUUUCCCAAGAAAAAAUAAUAUUUAAUAACUGAAUAUGGAAACAUGUCCGAUUGCAUUGCACAUAAAAAAUAUAACAAUGUCCCAAUGCUCUCACUAUUGUUUUGCAGUUAGUAAUUAGUUUGAAGAAUCAGAUAUCACAUAAUAUAGAUUGUUGAUGUUUUGUAGAACCGAACAAUUUCUAGCAAAUGUUGAUUCAUGUUUGCAAUACUUUGCCAUGUUUGGGGACCAUAUUCGUCCUGCCAUAUGAUAUUAGCACAAUGAAAUCAGUUUAUAUUUUUUAUAUAGUGUGCAUUGUACUAAGGUUUUAUAUAUGUAAUUCUUAUGUAAUAUGUUGAAUGUAGCGACCCGACCUCAGACGGUCAAGUCUCUAUGCUUAAG